GUGAAUGUGACACAGACCUCCUAUCAGGCAGAGGAGAACCACAACAUCACACUGGAAUGGACGUUCACAACCACAGCUGACACUUCCCCUGACUCUCUUGUAAUAUUCUGUGAGAUGAAAACUGGUCACACAGUCUUAGUCCUGUUUUUACUACAUGGAGGUGUUGUGGUCCCAGAGUCUCAGGAUCAACAGUUUGUAGGACGAGUCCAUUUGGACAAAGAUGCCCUCAGUGACGGACGACUCAGACUUCAUGUGUCCAGACUCAGGACUGAGGACUCAGGCUGGUACCUGUGUGAUGUGAGGACAAACUAUGGUGUGGACUCAGGUGAAUGUUGGCUCAACGUCUCUGCAGCGAGGGAUUGGCCCGAACCUGAGAGACCCAACAGUGAGAGAGCGAACAGGGUCAGUUGGGGAAUGAUCUUCCUCUACUGUGUACUCGGACUAACAGCAGCAGUGGUUGUUGUGUGAUUUCUUCAUCGCCUUCAUUUAUUCACUGUCUUGUCUAAGAAACAGAGUCCAGUGGAGCAAAUUUUACAGCUCAGCAGGAUCAAGGAAAGAGUUUGAUCCACAACUUAAUGAUUUUUAACAACAACCAUAGCUGAACAGGGUCAGUUGAAUAUGGAUUACCCUCUACUAUGAACUGGGACUGACAGCAGCAGUGGUUGUGUGGUUUCUUUGUCGCCUUUUAUUUAUUCACUGUCUAAGAAACAAAGUCCAGUGGAGGAUUUUAGAAAUGUUACAGCACAGCAGGAUCGGUGGAAACGGUUGAAACACAUCCUGCAUUCAUGUUGUUCAGUAAGUGUCCAUGAUGAAAGAGUCAGAGGAGAUAAACAAUAAUGGAGUUGAUUAAGGAAACAUUGUUUUUCACUUUUGUUGUCAAUUAUUUUGACAAGACGUCUCAUUAAACUCUGUCACUUAUAAGACAGAUCUGAAAUCUGCUCUGUGUUCACUUUACUGAAAUAAUGCUGAGAACCAUGUCGACCUCGUACAACAUGUGUAACUCUGUAUAUUUUAUGUUGUUGCCUCUAUGAUUAAUAAGAUAUGACAUUAACAUUGACAGUAUAUCCUGUAUAUGUAUUGCUCACCUCUUAACUGGAGCACAUAAGAUGGAGCACAUUACUCCCAUUCUGGCCUCCCUCCACUGGCUGUCUGUGCACUGUAGAGUUCAUCUUAAGAUUCUUUAAAUGGUCUCGCCCUGCCUUACCUCUCUGAGCUGCUCCAUCCCUACAGUCCUGCCCGGUGCCUCCGGUCAGCUGACCAGCUGCUCCUGGAGGUACCGAGAGAAGCUCAGAUGAGAAAGAGCUUUUUCUUUUGCCAGUCUCAAACUAUGGAACGUCCUCCUGCUACACAUCAGACGAGCCCCCUCACUGUCCAUUUUUAAAACUAAUCUUAAUACCCAUCUUUAUCCUUCGGCUUUCAACCCAGCAUGAGACUCUGCUCUUGUUUUAGUGUCUUGUUGUUUUUGUUGUUAUUGUUUUUUUAUAUUGUCUUUUAUGUUUUAUGGUGUAUUUCCUAUUUAUGUACUGCACUUUGUCCCAGCUAUGCCUGCUUAAAGUACUUUAUAAAUAAAGUUGAGUUGAGUUGA